CUCGGCAGCAGCUAGCGCUGUGCAGCUCUCACACGGUCGUCCACUGAAGGCAAGCAGGGCUGCGCCCGGUCAGUUCCUGGAUGGGAGACCACAUGGGGAAGCUAGGUUGUUGCCGGAA
ensembl:rRNA 5S_rRNA 5S ribosomal RNA